rnacentral:tRNA from 1 species
GGGGAUAUGGCGAAAUGGGUAGACGCUGCGGACUUAAAAUCCGUUGACUUUAAAAAUCGUGAGGGUUCAAGUCCCUCUAUCCCCA